UACGUAGGGUGCAAGCGUUAUCCGGAAUUAUUGGGCGUAAAGAGCUCGUAGGCGGUUUGUCGCGUCUGCUGUGAAAACCCGAGGCUCAACCUCGGGCCUGCAGUGGGUACGGGCAAACUAGAGUGCGGUAGGGGAGAUUGGAAUUCCUGGUGUAGCGGUGGAAUGCGCAGAUAUCAGGAGGAGCACCGAUGGCGAAGGCAGAUCUCUGGGCCGUAACUGACGCUGAGGAGCGAAAGCAUGGGGAGCGAACAGG
rnacentral:rRNA from 1 species